rnacentral:rRNA from 1 species
GACGAACGCUGGCGGCGUGCUUAACACAUGCAAGUCGAACGGAAAGGCCCUGCUUUUGUGGGGUGCUCGAGUGGCGAACGGGUGAGUAACACGUGAGUAACCUGCCCUUGACUUUGGGAUAACUUCAGGAAACUGGGGCUAAUACCGGAUAGGAGCUCCUGCUGCAUGGAGGGGGUUGGAAAGUUUCGGCGGUUGGGGAUGGACUCGCGGCUUAUCAGCUUGUUGGUGGGGUAGUGGCUUACCAAGGCUUUGACGGGUAGCCGGCCUGAGAGGGUGACCGGCCACAUUGGGACUGAGAUGCGGCCCAGACUCCUACGGGAGGCAGCAGUGGGGAAUAUUGCACAAUGGGCGGAAGCCUGAUGCAGCAACGCCGCGUGCGGGAUGACGGCCUUCGGGUUGUAAACCGCUUUCGCCUGUGACGAAGCGUGAGUGACGGUAAUGGGUAAAGAAGCACCGGCUAACUACGUG